UAAACCUUUUUCUCUUUCAUCUCUUCCAGUUGAGGCAUAUGGAAACCCUGAGUCUGAAACUACUCCGGAAUAUUUGCUCUCUGACUCACAAGAACUGGGACUGAAUUUGUUUGAUGUGUACUUCCCUACUGGAUCUUCCGCAUCAUUUUUGAUUUGGAAUGCAAGUGGCUCAUUCCUAAACGAAGAAGGAACUAUCUUACUUUCAGACUUCCUGUCAUUGAUGAGAAAACUGGCUGAUUUUCUUGAGAUAGAUCUUUGCUUGAAGGACAACCCCAGGAGAACCCUGUAGUAGAAGGAAUCACCAGAGCAUCAAGGGGCUUCCCUUGUGGCGCAGUGGUUGAGAGUCCGCCUGCCGAUGCAGAGGACAUGGGUUUGUGCCCCGGUCCGGGAAGAUCCCACAUGCCGCGGAGCGGCUAGGCCCGUGAGCCAUGGCCUCUGAGCCUGUGCGUCUGGAGCCUGUGCUCCACAACGGGAGAGGCCCACGGACAGCAAGAAAAAAAAAAUGUAAUUUUAACUCUUCAAUGACAGGGAAAGUGAGGUAUAUCGGUAUCUGAGUGAAUGUAAGUGAGACGUACUUAUAAUAUACCAAUUAUGUUAGGACAGUUGCUGAAGGGGUUUUUGAUAUCUGCUCUGAAUUUUCUCUAUGCUAUUUUAUUUGUAAGUUGGUACUAUUAAGUUCGCAUAGGCAGCAAAGGAACUAGUCUUGAGCAUUAAAGAUCUGUAACUAAGGAAUACUUCAGGGUAAACAUUCCUCAACGUUUUAAUGAAAAAAAUUAUUUUUCUCC